GAGGCUUAACACAUGCAAGUCGAGGGGGAGCACGAGGUAGCAAUACUUUGGUGGCGACCGGCGCACGGGUGAGUAACGCGUAUGCAACCUACCCUGUAAGGGGGUAGCCCGGAGAAAUUCGGAUUAAUACCCCAUAAAUAUAUUUGGAGGCAUCUUCAGAUAUUUAAAGUUUCGACGGUACGGGAUGGGCAUGCGUAACAUUAGCUAGUUGGUAAGGUAACGGCUUACCAAGGCUACGAUGUUUAGGGGUCCUGAGAGGGUGAUCCCCCACACUGGUACUGAGACACGGACCAGACUCCUACGGGAGGCAGCAGUGAGGAAUAUUGGUCAAUGGGCGCAAGCCUGAACCAGCCAUCCCGCGUGCAGGAAGACGGCGCUACGCGUUGUAAGCUGCUUUUCCAGGGAAAGAAAACCCCCGACGUGUCGGGGCUUGCCGGUACCCUGGGAAUAAGCAUCGGCUAACUCCGUGCCAGCAGCCGCGGUAAUACGGAGGAUGCAAGCGUUAUCCGGAUUUAUUGGGUUUAAAGGGUGCGUAGGCGGAUUAAUAAGUCAGUGGUGAAAACCUGCAGCUUAACUGUAGACUUGCCAUUGAUACUGUUAGUCUUGAGUACGGUCAAGGUAGGCGGAAUGUGUAAUGUAGCGGUGAAAUGCUUAGAUAUUACACAGAACACCGAUUGCGAAGGCAGCUUACUGGGCCAUUACUGACGCUGAGUGCGAAGCGUGGGGAGCAAACAGGAUUAGAUACCUGGUAGUCAGGCCGUAAACCAUGAAACUA
rnacentral:rRNA from 1 species